UGUCCUUCCAGGCGACUCAAGACCUGCAGUGUGGAGCUGGGUUUGGCCAGGAAUAGCUCAGAAGGCCUUCCUCUCAGAAGCCAGCUCUUGAGGUCUUCAGUGUAUGUUCUAACUAUAUUUGGCAACAAAAACCAAAGAGUUGGGAAGGACUCCAUCUGAGCAGCUGCCUCUUCAUCUCAGAGCUGAACCAUCUCUUUCACUUGCCUUGGAUUCCCUGAAGGGAGUCAUAAGACUCCCUGGGCAGAAGGCAAAUGCCUGCUCCCUGUUCAGAACAGCCCUAAGCUAGUGCCCAACCUGCCUUUGGCAGCUUUGCCUGCUGGCUGAAACUCUGCCAGGGUGAGGUUUGGCUGAAGGGCUCUGUGGCUAUGGGACAAACGUUGGCUCAAGGAGAAGGGCUGUGUGCUGACUCCCACGUAGGAGGACUUAUUAAACCGCACGUACCUCCUGACGGCUCUCUGGCACGUCGGAGGCGGCCGGCUGGGGGCGCCGCAGCAUCGCUUAUGAGCCCGCCGACUCGCUGGGGCACUGGGCC